UACGAAGGGGGCUAGCGUUGCUCGGAAUCACUGGGCGUAAAGCGCACGUAGGCGGAUUGCUAAGUCAGGGGUGAAAUCCUGGAGCUCAACUCCAGAACUGCCCUUGAUACUGGCGGUCUCGAGUCCGGGAGAGGUGAGUGGAACUGCGAGUGUAGAGGUGAAAUUCGUAGAUAUUCGCAAGAACACCAGUGGCGAAGGCGGCUCACUGGUCCAUUACUGACGCUGAGGUGCGAAAGCGUGGGGAGCAAACAGG
rnacentral:rRNA from 1 species